rnacentral:rRNA from 1 species
AGAGUUUGAUCCUGGCUCAGGACGAACGCUGGCGGCGUGCCUAAUACAUGCAAGUCGAGCGGACGAAUCGAAAGCUUGCUUUUGAUUCGUUAGCGGCGGACGGGUGAGUAACACGUGGGUAACCUGCCCUUGAGAGGGGGAUAACAGGUCGAAAGGCCUGCUAAUACCGCAUAACGCCAAGAUGCUGCAUGGCGUCUUAGCCAAAGGUUAAUUCCGCUCAAGGAUGGGCCCGCGGCCCAUUAGCUAGUUGGUGAGGUAACGGCUCACCAAGGCAACGAUGGGUAGCCGGCCUGAGAGGGUGGUCGGCCACACUGGGACUGAGACACGGCCCAGACUCCUACGGGAGGCAGCAGUGGGGAAUAUUGCGCAAUGGGGGAAACCCUGACGCAGCGACGCCGCGUGAGCGAUGAAGGCCUUCGGGUUGUAAAGCUCCGUCUUCCCUGACGAUAAUGACGGUAAGGGAGGAGGAAGCCACGGCUAACUACGUGCCAGCAGCCGCGGUAAUACGUAGGUGGCAAGCGUUGUCCGGAAUUACUGGGCGUAAAGGGUGCGUAGGCGGCUCUUUAAGUGGGGUGUGAAAUCCCUGGGCUCAACCCAGGAACUGCACUCCAAACUGGAGAGCUAGAGUGCAGGAGAGGAAAGCGGAAUUCCCAGUGUAGCGGUGAAAUGCGUAGAGAUUGGGAGGAACACCAGUGGCGAAGGCGGCUUUCUGGACUGUAACUGACGCUGAGGCACGAAAGCGUGGGGAGCAAACAGGAUUAGAUACCCUNNAGUCCACGCUGUAAACGAUGGGUACUAGUGNAGGGGGGCGAAGCCCU